rnacentral:rRNA from 1 species
CUGCCCUUCAGAGUUUGAUCCUUUUGGCUCAGGACGAACGCUGGCGGCGUGCUUAACACAUGCAAGUCGAACGAUGAAGCCUAGCUUGCUGGGUGGAUUAGUGGCGAACGGGUGAGUAACACGUGAGUAACCUGCCCUUGACUCUGGGAUAAGCGCUGGAAACGGCGUCUAAUACCGGAUAUGACCUUCCGCCGCAUGGUGAGGGGGUGGAAAGAUUUUUUGGUCAAGGAUGGACUCACGGCCUAUCAGCUUGUUGGUGAGGUAAUGGCUCACCAAGGCGACGACGGGUAGCCGGCCUGAGAGGGUGACCGGCCACACUGGGACUGAGACACGGCCCAGACUCCUACGGGAGGCAGCAGUGGGGAAUAUUGCACAAUGGCCGAAAGCCUGAUGCAGCAACGCCGCGUGAGGGACGACGGCCUUCGGGUUGUAAACCUCUUUUAGUAGGGAAGAAGCGAAAGUGACGGUACCUGCAGAAAAAGCACCGGCUAACUACGUGCCAGCAGCCGCGGUAAUACGUAGGGUGCAAGCGUUGUCCGGAAUUAUUGGGCGUAAAGAGCUCGUAGGCAGUUUGUCGCGUCUGCUGUGAAAUCCCGAGGCUCAACCUCGGGCCUGCAGUGGGUACGGGCAGACUAGAGUGCGGUAGGGGAGAUUGGAAUUCCUGGUGUAGCGGUGGAAUGCGCAGAUAUCAGGAGGAACACCGAUGGCGAAGGCAGAUCUCUGGGCCGUAACUGACGCUGAGGAGCGAAAGGGUGGGGAGCAAACAGGCUUAGAUACCCUGGUAGUCCACCCCGUAAACGUUGGGAACUAGAUGUGGGGGGCCCCGGGCCAUUCCACGGUCUCCGUGUCGCAGCUAACGCAUUAAGCUCCCCGCCUUUGCGGGGGAGUACGGCCGCAAGGCUAAAACUCAAAGGAAUUGACGGGGGCCCGCACAAGCGGCGGAGCAUGCGGAUUAAUUCGAUGCAACGCGAAGAACCUUACCAAGGCUUGACAUAUACGAGAACGGGCCAGAAAUGGUCAACUCUUUGGACACUCGUAUACAGGUGGUGCAUGGUUGUCGUCAGCUCGUGUCGUGAGAUGUUGGGUUAAGUCCCGCAACGAGCGCAACCCUCGUUCUAUGUUGCCAGCACGUUAUGGUGGGAACUCAUGGGAUACUGCCGGGGUCAACUGCGCUUAUCGGAGGAAGGUGGGGACGACGUCAAAUCAUCAUGCCCCUUAUGUCUUGGGCUUCACGCAUGCUACAAUGGCCGAUACAAAGGGCUGCGAUACCGUAAGGUGGAGCGAAUCCCAAAAAGUCGGUCCCAGUUCGGAUUGAGGUCUGCAACUCGACCUCAUGAAGUCGGAGUCGCUAGUAAUCGCAGAUCAGCAACGCUGCGGUGAAUACGUUCCCGGGCCUUGUACACACCGCCCGUCAAGUCAUGAAAGUCGGUAACACCCGACGCCGGUGGCCCAACCCCUUGUGGGAGGGAGCCGUCUAAGGUGGGAUCGGUAAUUAGGACUAAGUCGUAACAAGGUAGCCGUACCGGAAGGUGCGGCUGGAUCACCUCCUAAGG